GAAUUGUGAAAAACUGAGUUGAAAUGUAUUUGGCUAAGGUGUAUGUAAACUUCCGACUUCAACUGUGUAUAUUGAGGACUAAUCUGAUUAAGGUGAGUUGUUUAUUUAACCAAAUUUUAACUACAUUUUCGACUUGUGCGUGAUGCUUUUAAAUAUUGUGGCCAUUGCAUCGGCGUCUAGCUAACUGCGUUUCGCACUCGCUCUGUAACCAGUUCAUUUUGGCAGUCUUGUAAGACUGCUCCUAGAACAUGACAACAUAAUAUAGUGACUAGCUGGAAAUAUGAAUGUAUUUUACUGGACUAAUUAGGCCGUGUCCAUAUUUUGGGACAGUGAAUGUGAGUUGAAUAGUCUGUUUGCUGUAGUUUGGGACCUGCUUCAAGUAAUAUCAAAAGUUGUGGUCAUGAUCCAAUAUUUUCAAAAUAUACUUUGAAAUGAUCAUUGCUAAGUAAAAGAGUAUUGGUGAAAAUGUUUGUAGUCAGCCUUAUAUAAUGUGUCAUGAUUGAAAUACAAAUGUAAUGCUUUUCAUCCAUGCUGGCCUUAUCUCCUAACUGCUUUUGGACCUAGUCAUGCUGAUCAGGGUGAAAUUCAAUGGUGAACAAAAAUGUCAAGAUCAUUAACCUGACACUUGAAAACCUUUUUGAUUGGAAAUAAAUGUAUUGUUUUCAUACCAGUCAGUCUGAUUUCUCGUACCUUUCCAAUUGCAGGUUGUUGUCUUAAUGUUUGUCACAGCUUUCCUGAAAUUUGAGAUCCCACUUACUAGUUUAUCAGAGACAAAGCUGUAUGAUGGGUCUGGAACUGAAGUUGAUGGGGAUGUGUUUGAAAAGGUGGUGAAACGGCCAGAUCUUGGUGUUUUCAAGCUCACACUGAACAAUGAUGCUAAAGGUAUGUGCUGGUGUUCAAGUCUUGGUUACUUGUGGCAUCACUUUCAAUAUAACCAUACAUUUGACAUGCCUGUAUUGUUGUCUUUGUGUAUUUCAGAAUCUUCCCUGAUGAGUCCUGUCUCUGCCAGUUCUGUGAUGGGUGGUUCAGACCAUGAGUCGGUUGAUACAAUCAUUUUGAGCGAGGAUGGAAGCCCCUCACGGAAGUGUCAAAGAUCUGAUGACGAAGCAAAAAAUCUAAUAGAGAGCAUACUGAAGAAAAAGCCUGGUGGAGAGGUUGUCAUCAAGGAAUACGCCAAAACUAAAAGCCUGACUGACUGCACCAGACGAAAGAUGAUCAACAUUCUUGUUUCGGCGAUGACAGAGACUCAUGGGACAUCACCACUGCGCAGUGUGAGAGAAACGUUUGCACAAGGCAUCGUCUCUUUGUUCCCAUACCUUAAGGAUCCCUACACUGCAAAUGGAUAUGAACAUUAUUACGACCCUAAUAGUGGAGAAGGGUACCUCUCGUAUAGAAUCAAAACCAUUCAGAGGAAUUUGGUUUCAUCAGAGAAACGGCCCACUCAACUAUACUCUGGAGGGCCAACUGCUGAGAGGGAGUCCAGUCCAUCCACUUUGGCUACCCUGAGUGAAGACCAGUGCCGAGAGGCCAUUUCUCUUAUGAAGCAUUCUUCUGAUGAGGAAACAGAAGAUGAGAUUGACCUUUUGAGUACAGGAAGAUGACCCACGACCCGACUAAAUGCUCCACCAUCCUAACCGAAUUUACACCCUUUCUGGAUGUGAAGGGCUUGUUUCAGAUUGAACAGGAUUUUGUGCUGCUCUUUGGAGAGGGAACAUCAGCCAAGUUUUUGGAGAGGUGGCCAACUACAUUCAAGCAAAAGAUCAUCAUGCUAAGCAAGGCCCUAAGCAAGGCCACUCAGGGAGCUGAACUUCAGGAGCUGAUCCAGAUGGCAGAAUCUGCAGUUGAUGAGGGAGCUGACACGAAUGCUUACAGAUGGGAAAGUGACCUUUCCUCCAUCCUUCUCCUGCUCCAUUUGAUUCCUCCUUCAUCACAAGGCCGCAAAAGACCAGGCAAGAUGUCUGCAUCCCAAGCUGAACAGCAUCUUGUGAUAUUCUAAAAGGCAGGAACCAGUAUCCAGGAGCACCUUGAUGCGAUUGACCAGAGCCGCCAACCAUAUCUUCUUGCAGUCGGGACCAGGAAGAGCAGCAUCCAUGCUUACUUCAUCAUCCUGGACAAGCAAGCCUUGCAAGUCAACGAGCGCUCUUGGUGCUUCGAUGAGCUUUUCAAGACUCACUUUGUUUUUGGUACUGCUUACAAUACAAUGCUGCGCAACAUGUACACCUUCAUACAGACAACUGUGUACAUCAUAGACAUUGGGAAGGUUAAGGAGACUCCAAGGGUUGCUGAGCUCAGAGCUAGACCUCUGCACUAAUGCUGAUUAAGUGAUGAUAUGUUUUGUUUACCAUGCUAGUCAUGGAAGUACCAACUUGCUCAUAAGGCAUCUCAAGUUGAUGCAUGGAAUGUGCCCUGGUAGAACUCUUAGACUAAAAUGUGGUCAAGCAGAUUGUUGUCGUGUAUUUGGUACAUUUUCAGACUUUAGGAAGCAUUUGAACAGGGCACAAUCCCGAGACUGUCAAAUGCUAACUUGAAUGCUAAUACAGCCGUUGAUAAUCAGCCAAGUAAUGCUGAUUUUCCUUCAAAUUCUAGUUGUAACCAUGUACCAAUAUCUAACAAAAACACACUUGCUAUGUGUGCGUCUGCUAUUGCACAGCUGCAGGUGUAGGUCAGACUGUAAAUAGUUUUGUAUCUUCCAUGGAAGAAGCAGUUCAAGAGAUACAGCGUCAAGCUAAAGCGACCGAUCUCACAUGUAUAUCUUCAAAAGACACAAAUUUUCAGAAAAAUACAACAUUAUUUUCAGGAUAUUGAAAUUCCUUUCACAUUGUUGAAUUCGGUAUCAAAACGAAGUGCUUAUUUUAUACAAAAAUGGGGAACAGGUCAACCAGUUGAGAGUCCUUGGUGUUAGAUUUGACAAUAGAAGAAACAACACUACUGGAACUUAUGAUCAAAUGGUCAUAACUGAUCAAUUUUUUUACGUUCCAAUUCUCCAGACAUUGCAGUCAAUUUUGAAGAACCCAAAUACAAGUGGCAUGUUUAACUCGGGGCACAGUUUUAAAAUUGAGUUUACUUUGAUUUGAAAGCUGGACUAUAUAUGAAGAGACAUCCUCUCUUUUCUAAAGAGAAAAAUGCAUUGAAAAUUCAACUCUUAUGAUGACUUUGAGACUGCUAAUCCAUUGGGAUCAAAAAAGGGAAUUCACAAGUUGGGAGGUAYAUACUUUACUUUGAGAAAUUUUACCCCAAAGUUUCAUUCAAUUUUGGUAAAUAUUCACUUAUGUGCACUCUUCCAUACCCAGGACCUUAAAACGUAGGGAUUUGAUUCCAUUCUUGAGCCAAUAGUUAGCGAUUUGAAAUUGCUUGUGACUGAGGGUAUUGCAGUUCCCUUCUUCAGUGGUUGUAUACAUGGCAGUAUUGUCCAAGUAACUGGAGAUAAUCUUGGUAUACAUUGCCUGUUUGGUUUUGUGGAAUCAUUUAGUGCUCGUUAUUGUUGCCAUUUCUGCAACACUGAGAAAGUGGAUUUUUAAACUGUGUUCUCUGAGGAUGACCCAAGAGUGACUUUACGAACAAAACACAUGCAACUCAGACCAUUGUCAAACUAUUCAGUCAAACCCAAAGUGUGAAGCAUGCUUGCUUAUUGAACUCUCCAGUACUUCAAUACUACAGACAACUUUCUGUUGAUAUAAUGCAUGACAUUUUAGGAGUUGCACAAUUUGAGGUAACUUGCGUUACAGUAUAUACAAGCCAACUUUGUGACUGAUAAAGAUGUCUACGGUAGAGUUCAUUCAUGUAACUAUGGCUACACAGAGAGGAGGAAUCGUCCACCUGCACUCAAAUUGGAUGAUGGGAGCAAUGAUUUGGGUCUAAAUGCUAUUCAGUCUUGGUGUCUUCUCUGUAAUUUGCCAUUGAUAGUUGGUGAUCUGGUACAGAAAGAUGAUAAAUACUGGCAGCUGCUUCUGUUACUACUACAAAUUGUAAAUAUUGUGUUUUCUCCUAUACUAACAGAGGGCAUGACUAUCUAUCUGAAGCACUUAAUUGCUGAACAUCAUAGGCUUUUCAAGUAUUUUUUUCCUGAUUAGAAAUCUGUUACCGAAACACCACUUCAUGAUACAUUAUCCUCGUUGUAUAAGGAAUUUUUGUGUCUCAGUGCACACAAAUGUUUUGUCAGCUAAAUGGGUAAAGCACCAUGGUAUAAAAUAUCGUCUUGAUUUGGUCAUAUGUGGUGAAGUAGUCAUUUGAAAUGCCAGUAUACAAAAUUGAGGCUAUUCUUCUGAAAGAAAAAUGUUUUUUGGGUUGGGUCAGCUCUUGAAACCUUAUGUUUUGAUGAUCAUUUGCAUGCAUUUAAAGUUUUGAAGCAUAGUCCACCAUGCAAAGUAUUUCAUGUAAAUAACAUAAUGUACCACAAACCUUUUGAUUUGCUCAUGUCAUAUGGAGCAAGGGAUUUUUUUGACUACAUUGUCCCCUACUGUCACUUGAUAACAGUUUAAGCCAGGGCUGAGACUUAUGGUUAGGUUGUGAGAAACAUGUUUUUAAUGUAAAUGUCAGCAUUUUCCAACAAACCUAUUGAUUUGCUCAUGUCAUAUGGAGCAAGGGAUUCUUUUGACUACAUUCUACUGUCACUUGAUAAGUUUAAGCCAGGGCUGGGACUUAUGGUUUGGUUAUAAUAAACAUA